UACAGAGGUCUCAAGCGUUUGUUCGGAUUCAUUGGGCGUAAAGGGCGCGUAGGCGGCGGGGUAAGUCGGGUGUGAAAUCUCAGAGCUCAACUCUGAAACUGCACUCGAUACUGCUCUGCUUGAGGACUGGAGAGGAGACUGGAAUUCACGGUGUAGCAGUGAAAUGCGUAGAUAUCGUGAGGAAGACCAGUGGCGAAGGCGGGUCUCUGGACAGUUCCUGACGCUGAGGCGCGGAAGG
rnacentral:rRNA from 1 species